rnacentral:rRNA from 1 species
AUUGAACGCUGGCGGCAGGCCUAACACAUGCAAGUCGAACGAGUGGCGGACGGGUGAGUAAUGUCUGGGAAACUGCCCGAUGGAGGGGGAUAACUACUGGAAACGGUAGCUAAUACCGCAUACCAUCGGAUGUGCCCCGCUGGGAUUAGCUAGUAGGUGGGGUAACGGCUCACCUAGGCGACGAUCCCUAGCUGGUCUGAGAGGAUGACCAGCCAGACUGGAAGUGAGACACGGUCCAGAGUCGUACGGGAGGCAGCAGUGGGGAAUAUUGCACAAUGGGCGCAAGCCUGAUGCAGCCAUGCCGCGUGUAUGAAGAAGGACUUCGGGUUGUAAAGUACUUUCAGCGGGGAGGCGUUACCCGCAGAAGAAGCACCGGCUAACUACGUGCCAGCAGCCGCGUUAAUUC